rnacentral:rRNA from 1 species
AUUGAACGCCGGCGGCAGGCCUAACACAUGCAAGUCGAGCGAGCGGCGGACGGGUGAGUAAUGUACGGGAAACUGCCCGAUAGAGGGGGAUAACUACUGGAAACGGUAGCUAAUACCGCAUACUCUCGGAUGACCCCAUAUGGGAUUAGAUAGUAGGUGGGGUAACGGCUCACCUAGGCGACGAUCACUAGCUGGUCUGAGAGGAUGACCAGCCACACUGGAACUGAGACACGGUCCAGACUCCUACGAGAGGCAGCAGUGGGGAAUAUUGCACAAUGGGCGCAAGCCUGAUACAGCCAUGCCGCGUGUGUGAAGAAGGCCUUAGGGUUGUAAAGAACUUUCAGCGGGGAGGCGUUACCCGCAGAAGAAGCACCGGCUAACUCCGUGCCAGCAGCCGGGGUAAUAC